GGGUCAAUGAUGACAACUCGUAUGGUCUCGAAGAGAGAUGAUGACCUAAAAAUCAUGCUCAUUUAAGGGCACCAUCUUGGGGGAGGGUGGAGUCCU
rnacentral:snoRNA from 1 species